AUUGAACGCUGGCGGCAGGCCUAACACAUGCAAGUCGAGCGAGCGGCGGACGGGUGAGUAAUGUCUGGGAAACUGCCUGAUGGAGGGGGAUAACUACUGGAAACGGUAGCUAAUACCGCAUACCAUCAGAUGUGCCCAGAUGGGAUUAGCUAGUAGUUGGGGUAACGGCUCACCUGGGCGACGCUCCCUAGCUGGUCUGCGAGGAUGACCAGGCAAACGGGAACUGAGACAGGGGCGAGACUCCUACGGGAGGCAGCAGUGGGGAAUACUGCACAAUGGGCGCAAGCCUGAUGCAGACAUGCCGCGUGUGUGAAGAAGGCCUGAGGGUUGUAAAGGACUUUCAGCGGGGAGGCGUUACCCGCAGAAGAAGCACCGGCUAACUCCGUGCCAGCAGCCGCGGUAAUAC
rnacentral:rRNA from 1 species